rnacentral:rRNA from 1 species
AUACGUAGGGUGCGAGCGUUGUCCGGAAUUACUGGGCGUAAAGAGCUCGUAGGUGGUUUGUCGCGUCGUCUGUGAAAUUCCGGGGCUUAACUCCGGGCGUGCAGGCGAUACGGGCAUAACUUGAGUACUGUAGGGGAGACUGGAAUUCCUGGUGUAGCGGUGAAAUGCGCAGAUAUCAGGAGGAACACCGGUGGCGAAGGCGGGUCUCUGGGCAGUAACUGACGCUGAGGAGCGAAAGCAUGGGUAGCGAACAGGAUUAGAUACCCUGGUAGUCCAUGCCGUAAACGGUGGGCGCUAGGUGUAGGGGUCUUCCACGACUUCUGUGCCGUAGCUAACGCAUUAAGCGCCCCGCCUGGGGAGUACGGCCGCAAGGCUAAAACUUAAAGGAAUGGGCGGGG